CAGCCCUUGGGUGGAGGCUUGUACUUGGCCUAAGGGGUGCAGCGGCGGGUAGCUGGGGCGUCUAGAGAAGGGAGGGGGAUGUAUGGUAGAGCAGGGAGCGCCUGGGUCCCCGAGGCAGCCCCUAGUGAGCCCGAGGUAUUUUCCUUAUAUGAUCAGGCCUCUCCUAGCCGGCGCUGCUGGUCUGGAGCCUGAGAGGAUUAUGAAAACGUGGCAGGGUUACCUGCUGUUCUGAAACUCCUGUAGACUAGGCUAAGAAUUAUGUGAUUCGCCUAAAUACUGGGAUUAAAGGGGAUUAAAGGCGUGCUUCACCACACCUGG